AUAGUAAAGUGUGUCUUGGUUUAUGCCCUAGGAGUCAGAAGCUAAGGCACUCCUUUUUGUGCUUGUACAUUUGUCUUAACUGAAAAUAACCCAAGGAUAAGGAAACAAAUAGCUUCCUGAAAUUACUCGGAUUGCUGGAGUGAGGGGUGGUGAUUCUGUCGUCAUAGGAAGGCAACAAAGGCCAAAGUCAUAUUUGAGUUAUUACCAUUAUUAUUCACCACAUUUGCCAUCUUAUUUCAAACUUACAAUGGCGGAAGUGGACUAAGACAUCAUGUUGCCUCAAAUUUGAUUGGAAAUCAUGGCUCCUGGAGAAUGACUCCUCCAAAUCUAUGCUCCACAACUCGUGAUGCUCCCCACAAUGCUCUAGGAAAUGCUAGAAGAGUGCUAAUUUUUCUGAGCUUUGUUGGAAAAACUUGCCUUGUAAAGAAUGGACACUCGGUAGAUGCUUAUUGAUGAACCUGUUGAUUGAGGAUAACUCUCUAACUUUUCUGAGCUUUGUUGGAAAAACU